CCUACGGGUGGCAGCAGUGGGGGAUAUUGCUCAAUGGGGGGAACUCUGAUGCAGCGAAGCCGCGUGGGUGAAGACGCGCCUCGGCGCGUAAAGCCCCGUUAGCAGGGAAGAAAAUGACGGUACGUGAAGAAGAAGCCCCGGCUAACUACGUGCCAGCAGCCGCGGUAAUACGGAGGGGGCAAGCGUAAUCCGGAUUUACUGGGUGUAAGGGGAGCGCAGGCGGCGUGGCAAGCCAGGAGUGAAAGGCCGGGGCCCAACCCCGGGACUGCUGUGGGAACUGCGUGGCUGGAGUGCGGGGGGGGCAGGCGGAAUUCGUGGUGUAGCGGUGAAAUGCGUAGAUAUCAGGAAGAACACCGAUUGCGAAGGCAGCCUGCUGGAGUGCAACUGACGUUGAGGCCCGAAGGCGUGGGGAGCGAACAGGAUUAGAUACCCGUGUAGUC
rnacentral:rRNA from 1 species